rnacentral:misc_RNA from 1 species
GAUGAAGAACGCAGCGAAAUGCGAUAAGUAAUGUGAAUUGCAGAACUCAGUGAAUCAUCGAGUCUUUGAACGCACAUUGCGCCCCCUGGUAUUCCGGGGGGCAUGCCUGUCCGAGCGUCAUUGCUGCCCUCAAGCACGGCUUGUGUGUUGGGCCUCCGUCCUCCUCCCGGGGGACGGGCCCGAAAGGCAGCGGCGGCACCGCGUCCGGUCCUCGAGCGUAUGGGGCUUCGUCACCCGCUCUUGUAGGCCCGGCCGGCGCUUGCCGACACAUCAAUCUUUUUUCCAGGUUGACCUCGGAUCAGGUAGGGAUAUCCGCUGAACUUAAGCAUAUCAAUAAGCGGAGGA